rnacentral:rRNA from 1 species
CCCGACUUGUUUCGGGCAUCUGGUAUGUACCCGAUCAACAACGGUUUCAUUUGGGAUACCUUUGGGACCCGUCUUGAAACACGGACCAAGGAGUCUAUCUAGUAUGCGAGUAAAUGGGAUAGUUAGCUAAACCUAUUUGCGUAAAUAACUUAACUGUUAUGGGAUUACGUGUACAUUUACUUUACGGUGUGUGCACCUCCAUCCCGGAGUAUUUUCAUCACAUAUACGAGCAAUCGCAUAUAGAAAAUAUAUCAUGAGCAUACUGGACAUGACCCGAAAGAUGGUGAACUAUGCCUGAUCAGGUUGAAGUCAGGGGAAACCCUGAUGGAGGACCGAAGCAAUUCUGACGUGCAAAUCGAUUGUCAGAAUUGGGCA